ACGGGUGAGUAACACGUGAGCAACCUGCCCCAGACUCUGGAAUAAGCGCUGGAAACGGCGUCUAAUACUGGAUACGAAACUGGCCCGCAUGGGCAUGGUUUGGAAAGUUUUUCGGUUUGGGAUGGGCUCGCGGCCUAUCAGCUUGUUGGUGAGGUAAUGGCUCACCAAGGCGACGACGGGUAGCCGGCCUGAGAGGGCGACCGGCCACACUGGGACUGAGACACGGCCCAGACUCCUACGGGAGGCAGCAGUGGGGAAUAUUGCACAAUGGGCGAAAGCCUGAUGCAGCGACGCCGCGUGAGGGAUGACGGCCUUCGGGUUGUAAACCUCUUUCAGCAGGGAAGAAGCGAAAGUGACGGUACCUGCAGAAGAAGCACCGGCUAACUACGUGCC
rnacentral:rRNA from 1 species